GAUGAACGCUGGCGGCGUGCCUAAUACAUGCGAGUCGAGCGAACAGACGAGGAGCUUGCUCCUCUGACGUUAGCGGCGGACGGGUGAGUAACACGUGGAUAACCUACCUAUAAGACUGGGAUAACUUCGGGAAACCGGAGCUAAUACCGGAUAAUAUAUUGAACCGCAUGGUUCGAUAGUGAAAGACGGUUUUGCUGUCACUUAUAGAUGGAUCCGCGCCGCAUUAGCUAGUUGGUAAGGUAACGGCUUACCAAGGCGACGAUGCGUAGCCGACCUGAGAGGGUGAUCGGCCACACUGGAACUGAGACACGGUCCAGACUCCUACGGGAGGCAGCAGUAGGGAAUCUUCCGCAAUGGGCGAAAGCCUGACGGAGCAACGCCGCGUGAGUGAUGAAGGUCUUCGGAUCGUAAAACUCUGUUAUUAGGGAAGAACAAAUGUGUAAGUAACUAUGCACGUCUUGACGGUACCUAAUCAGAAAGCCACGGCUAACUACGUG
rnacentral:rRNA from 1 species